CCAAUAGCGUAUAUUAAAGUUGUUGCAGUUAAAAAGCUCGUAGUUGAAUUUCGAGAUCAGUACGCUGGUCGUGCCUUCGGUAUGUACUGGUCUCGCUGAUUCCUCCUUCCUGAUGAACCGUAAUGCCAUUAAUUUGGUGUUGCGGGGAGACUGGACUGUUACUUUGAAAAAAUUAGAGUGUUUAAAGCAGGCUAACGCUUGAAUACAUUAGCAUGGAAUAAUGAAAUAGGACGUUCGAUCCUAUUUUGUUGGUUUCUAGGAUUGACGUAAUGAUUAAUAGGGAUAGUUGGGGGCAUUAGUAUUCAAUUGUCAGAGGUGAAAUUCUUGGAUUUAUUGAAGACUAACUACUGCGAAAGCAUUUGCCAAGGAUGUUUUCAUUAAUCAAGAACGAAAGUUAGGGGAUCGAAGACGAUCAGAUACCGUUGUAGUCUUAACCAUAAACUAUGCCGACUAGGGAUCGGAUGAUGUUAAUUUUUUAAUGACUCAUUCGGCGCCUUACG
rnacentral:rRNA from 1 species